rnacentral:rRNA from 1 species
ACGUGAUCUGAGUUCAGACCGGAGUAAUCCAGGUCAGUUUCUAUCUAUAAGGAGCUUUUUUUAGUACGAAAGGACCAAAAAAGCAUGGCCCAUGUCUCCGACAAACCAUCUCUACUAACUUAUGUCUAAAACUUAAUUCUUAUUUAGUCCCCUUCUCUGUUCAAAAAAAGAACA